GAUGAACGCUGGCGGCGUGCCUAAUACAUGCAAGUCGAGCGAACGGACGAGAAGCUUGCUUCUCUGAUGUUAGCGGCGGACGGGUGAGUAACACGUGGAUAACCUACCUAUAAGACUGGGAUAACUUCGGGAAACCGUAGCUAAUACCGGAUAAUAUUUUGAACCGCAUGGUUCAACAGUGAAAGACGGUCUUGCUGUCACUUAUAGAUGGAUCCGCGCUGCAUUAGCUAGUUGGUAAGGUAACGGCUUACCAAGGCAACGAUGCAUAGCCGACCUGAGAGGGUGAUCGGCCACACUGGAACUGAGACACGGUCCAGACUCCUACGGGAGGCAGCAGUAGGGAAUCUUCCGCAAUGGGCGAAAGCCUGACGGAGCAACGCCGCGUGAGUGAUGAAGGCCUUCGGAUCGUAAAACUCUGUUAUUAGGGAAGAACAUAUGUGUAAGUAACUGUGCGCAUCUUGACGGUACCUAAUCAGAAAGCCACGGCUAACUACGUG
rnacentral:rRNA from 1 species